CCUUCACUGCCCGGUGCCUGAGCCACAGCCUCAGGCUUGGUCUCCCUCCCCCAUCCCCAAGUCUCUGAGGACCGAGAAACAGGAAUGGUCUCCCCCCUCAUACCUGCCAGGGCACUCGAUCCGGGCAGGGAGCUACUCAAACGCAGGCAGGGCAAUAUCCAUUAAGGGAAGUCGCACACACUGGGGGUCUGAAUGCUGGGACUGGGCAGCCCAUGGGGUUGAUCAGGGUCCACAGCCCUUCUUAGACUUCAGAUUUACUUAACUGGAAGACCAGUAUGCCACCUUAGAGAGAUGGCCCAUAGAGAAGGGAAAGCCUUUUUUCAUGAAUUUUCGCAACCCACAACCUAACCUGAACAGAUGUUCAGAGUUUACUAAAUUCACACGGAACCCCCCGGCAGCUUGGUAGAGGCUGCUGUUGUAAAUGCAACUGUACCACCAGCAGAUCCUGACUGCGAUGCAGUCCUGGGAUGGGCCAGACUUAAACAUAAUCGUGAGUGCACUCUGACGAGAUUGCGAAGGGGGAGGCCAAAAUAAAGAAGGCUCAAUAAAUACAGGAGGUAAAACAGACACCACCUGAGGGUCCUUCAGCAUGUCUAGGAAGGGUCUUUAAAGCCUAUAAGCCGUAUGCAGAUGGAGACCCUGCGGCCCCAGAGAACUUAGAGAUGGUUAAUGACUUCCACUAGUCAGAGCACCCCUGAUAUACAGAAGAAACUGCAAAAGGUGGAAGGGGCUUUAAGAGUGCCUCUGUCUUAACUUGUUGAAAUUGCCUUCAGAGUUUGCAAGGGCUGGGGCCAGAUUUAGGAGAAAAGGGAGCAGCAAGGAAUGAAACAACAAGCCUCCUUGUGGGCGGCUUCCUUAGCAUGAGGAAGAGCCGGACCAAAUCGAGGCCCCCCAUGAGGGGCUCAGCAUAAGAUGAGAAGCCCCAAACUCCCACUUGAAUGGGGCACCCAAUAGUGGGACCCCACCAAUGUGCACACUGUAAACAGGAGGGACCCUGGAAAAGAGACUGUCCCAAGUCAGACUCUUGAAAGUAAACGAGUGGUACAUCAGGUGUGUGAGCUGAGAAUGACGGUGACCAAGAAUGAAGGGUCCCAGGGGUUCCUUUAAAUGCUGCUGAGUCCUUCAGUAGCUCCCAUGCAGGGCCCCAGGUGACUAUGACAGUGGGAAAUCAAUUCUCAGAUUUCCUGGGCCGUAUGGGGGCACUUACUUGGUUUUAAAUACCUGGCUUUCUUAACCUUGUUCUGGGACUAUGUUAGUACCUGGGGUGUCUGGAGAAACCUGGAAAAAGCCUUUUCUGCAGACACUAGACUGUCAGAUGAGGAAAACCCAUCUAAGGUAUAGCUCUCUACACGAUGCUCCAUUCCCUUUCCGGAUGAGAUUUACUAACUAAAUGAAAUGCCAAGGUUGCCUUUGCAGCUGGACAAAUGGACAUUAAAGUACCACCAGAGGAACCCCGCCCAUUGCAGGCUCUAGUGCUUCAAUCCCCAGAAGAGCAGCCUGCAUCCAUUCCAGAAGAGAUGCUGUGAAGGGUUGGAUGGACAUCUCGUUAAUGAGGAUUUCUUAAAUUUUGGCAAAAGCAGUGUUGCUAUGAACAUUGGGGUGCAUGAAUCUUUUGGAACUAGUUUCCUCCAGAUGUA